GACGAACGCUGGCGGCGUGCUUAACACAUGCAAGUCGAACGGAAAGGCCCUGCUUUUGUGGGGUGCUCGAGUGGCGAACGGGUGAGUAACACGUGAGUAACCUGCCCUUGACUUUGGGAUAACUUCAGGAAACUGGGGCUAAUACCGGAUAGGAGCUCCUGCUGCAUGGUGGGGGUUGGAAAGUUUCGGCGGUUGGGGAUGGACUCGCGGCUUAUCAGCUUGUUGGUGGGGUAGUGGCUUACCAAGGCUUUGACGGGUAGCCGGCCUGAGAGGGUGACCGGCUACAUUGGGACUGAGAUACGGCCCAGACUCCUACGGGAGGCAGCAGUGGGGAAUUUUGCACAAUGGGCGGAAGCCUGAUGCAGCAACGCCGCGUGCGGGAUGACGGCCUUCGGGUUGUAAACCGCUUUCGCCUGUGACGAAGCGUGAGUGACGGUAAUGGGUAAAGAAGCACCGGCUAACUACGUG
rnacentral:rRNA from 1 species